CCUACGGGUGGCAGCAGUGGGGGAUAUUGCACAAUGGGGGUAACCCUGAUGCAGCGACGCCGCGUGGGUGAAGACGGCCCUCGGGGUGUAAAGCCCUGUCUGCAGGGAAGAAAAUGACGGUACCUGAAGAAGAAGCCACGGCUAACUACGUGCCAGCAGCCGCGGUAAUACGUAGGGGGCCAGCGUUAUCCGGAUUUACUGGGUGUAAAGGGGGCGCAGACGGCGAUGCAAGCCAGGUGUGAAAGCCCGGGGCCCAACCCCGGGGCUGCACUUGAAACUGGAUGGCUGGAGUGCAGGAGGGGAGAGCGGAAUUCCUGGUGUAGCGGUGAAAUGCGUAGAUAUUAGGAGGAACACCGGUGGCGAAGGCGGCCUGCUGGACUGCAACUGACGUUGAGGCUCGAAAGCGUGGGGAGCAAACAGGAUUAGAUACCCGGGUAGUC
rnacentral:rRNA from 1 species